AUCCUGAGACGCAUUGGUCCUGGGGGCGGAUAUCGUUGCGACAUUCGAUUGAACGCAACGAAUGUGGUACGACCCGCCACGGAUAGAACAAGUGCUAUCGCAAAGUAUUUAAUCGAACGCGAUGAAUGUGUAAAACAACCCGGCGCUAUAUAGAACGGCAUCGCAAUUCAUCAUAAGUGUAUUAUCGUUGCUAACUAACGAUCCGCAGUUCUGAGAGGAGGAGGAAGUCUAGGAGAAGCAUCAGGCUUCGGCACAACAUUUGGGUAGAUAUAAUUUCUUUUAUAUUUGAUAAAUAUGUUUAAUUAUAUUUUUAAUAAAUAAUGUUUAAGAGCCUCAUUUACUGUCAAUAAAAAAGUUAUUCUUUCGUGUGCGUGUUACAUCCACGUUUGGCCAAAAAAAUGUACAUGUGUAUAAUUUAAUUGCGUUCUGAGCUAUGCACAUGAAAUGUUAAUAACAGAAUUAUUUGUUUUGUAUUAUAUGUAUGUGCUAUUGAAGGCAAAUCAUCUCGUUUACUCUUAUGUAGCACGGACACGCACCAAAAAAGACUUUUUUAUUAACAGUGUCGAUAAAUGGGUGAGGUCACGUGUAGCUUUACAUCCACGUUUGGCGCUGAUGCUAGCCAAAUAUUAGUCGCACGAAAAAAGCCGUGGCUGCCGUUCUCAGGUUUCUCUCUGAUUAUUAACCUCGAUAUGGUUCUCUUUAUUUAAAAUUUGACAUCACUAAAUGUUAUUAAAAUUUACUAGAUUUAUGUUAUAAUUUAACAAGCAUUUGUUAUUUAAAGAAAUAUAAAACUAUAAUUUUUGUUUUUGAAUUUUACAACAUGGCAAAAUCAUAUUUGGUUCUGUUUUAUUCUUUUCAAAGACUUGGAGACUUUUUUGUUGAAUGUCUUUACUGUAUAAUUAUUUUUACAUAAUUAAAUUAUAUAAUCACAUAUAACAAGUUUCAUUGUGCAUUUAUUGUGCAUCUGUUAAUUAAUUAUUAGAUAGAAAAUUGUUUUAAGUCAAAAUAUAUAUAAAAAUAUAGUAAUAAUUUAACGCUAAUUAUAUUCCAUUAGAAGUUUUAUUAUAAUAUAAUUAUAAUAUAAUUAAACUAAAUUUAAAAAAGUAAUUUUAUAUUUCAUAUUAAAUGCUGCAAUAAUUAAAAUAAAAAAUUAAGUAGUUAUAAUAGGUUGAAUUCCUAAUAUAAACGAAAUAUUUUUUUAGAAUCGAUUAUAUGAAGUUUAUACUAAUUAAACAAAACCCCAUACAAGCUCCUGCUCGCUAACGCUCUCUCAGUAAGCAUUGCAACUAAAGCAAAUUAAAAGCUCUAAGAAAACUUGAACAAAUAAUAAUAAGAAAAUAUGCUAGUUAAUUAUCUAAUAAAUUGUCUUGUUAUCCCGUAAUUGCAUUAAUAAUUACAAUACUAAAAUAAAAUAUUUUUGUGCAUUUAUAUUAUUAUAAUAUUAUGUCAAAUGUGUUUUUAAAAGAUAUGAAAUUUUGGAAUAAUAUAUACUUCCUAAAAUAAUUAAAUUAUUUGCAACAGAACGUUUCUUUCUCGCGUAUCGAAUUCCUUGCGAUCUCGUCGGUGUUUUUUAUCAUAGCGAGAUGGCGCUCCAACGACCGCCAGAAAAUUCAACUGAUGAGACCGAGUCAUCAUCAUCAUGACCAGGAUCACUUCCUGUGUUUGCGGUCUCGUCCGCCUCUCGUUACUGUUGACCUCCCGACCGAUCUGAGGCUACUGACUUGGCUGAAAGGAAGACACGCGCUUACCGCUGCUGCCGAGAAACAACGGCUGCCGUUUGUAAAUUGGUCACGGUCGUGUACCGCGGCCCGUCGGUGACUCUUUCCUAAAGUCGUCAGCCAGCCCGACGUCGGCAAACACGAUCGUGAGGUCGCGAAGCGGGUGAACGAGUUGACGUGACGCGCAUCCGAGCGUGCGAGACUCGCAAGAUUGAUCUAUCAUUGUCUUGUCUGGCCGCCGUCUGGACGGUUGAUUGCCAUCGGGGCAAAUAUUAUUAUCUUCCCAGAAUUCCCGCGGCCGAUUACCGAUUUCGCGUUGUCUCGCGCUACAUUGCACUCGUGCUGCUUUGUACGAGAACAGGGGAAAUCCAAACAACUCCGUCCGAUCCCCCUUAGCGUAGGAAAUUACGCACGAGUUAUCCGCUUAUCUCGUAUUACGAGGAUUAAUUAUUGAUGAAAAAAAAUUAAUUUUCAAACGGUUUAAAAUUAAUUUUAAA